GACGGAGGAUGCAAGUGUUAUCCGGAAUCACUGGGCGUAAAGCGUCUGUAGGUGGUUUAAAAAGUCCACUGUUAAAAAUUGAAGCUUAACUUCAAAGAUGCCGUGGAAACUUUUAAACUGGAGUAUGGUAGGGGUAGAGGGAAUUUCCAGUGGAGCGGUGAAAUGUGUAGAUAUUGGAAAGACCACCAAUGGCGAAGGCACUCUACUGGGCCAUGACUGACACUGAGAGACGAAAGCUAGGGGAGCAAAUGGG
rnacentral:rRNA from 1 species